rnacentral:rRNA from 1 species
GAUGAACGCUAGCGGGAGGCCUAACACAUGCAAGCCGAGCGGUAUUUGUCCUUCGGGACAGAUAGAGCGGCGUACGGGUGCGGAACACGUGUGCAACCUGCCUUUAUCUGGGGGAUAGCCUUUCGAAAGGAAGAUUAAUACCCCAUAAUAUAUCGAAUGGCAUCAUUCGAUAUUGAAAACUCCGGUGGAUAGAGAUGGGCACGCGCAAGAUUAGAUAGUUGGUGAGGUAACGGCUCACCAAGUCAGUGAUCUUUAGGGGGGCUGAGAGGGUGAUCCCCCACACUGGUACUGAGACACGGACCAGACGCCGACGGGAGGCAGCAGUGAGGAAUAUUGGACAAUGAGUGAGAGCCUGAUCCAGCCAUCCCGCGUGAAGGACUAAGGCCCUAUGGGUUGUAAACUUCUUUUAUACUGGGAUAAACCUACUUACGUGUAAGUAGCUGAAGGUACAGUAUGAAUAAGCACCGGCUAACUACGUG